AGAAUAUUUUUUUUUAGAUGCUAGACAACUAACUUUAUUGGAGAGUUUGAUCCUGGCUCAGGAUGAACGCUGGCGGCGUGCCUAAUACAUGCAAGUCGAGCGAAUGGAUUAAGAGCUUGCUCUUAUGAAGUUAGCGGCGGACGGGUGAGUAACACGUGGGUAACCUGCCCAUAAGACUGGGAUAACUCCGGGAAACCGGGGCUAAUACCGGAUAACAUUUUGAACCGCAUGGUUCGAAAUUGAAAGGCGGCUUCGGCUGUCACUUAUGGAUGGACCCGCGUCGCAUUAGCUAGUUGGUGAGGUAACGGCUCACCAAGGCAACGAUGCGUAGCCGACCUGAGAGGGUGAUCGGCCACACUGGGACUGAGACACGGCCCAGACUCCUACGGGAGGCAGCAGUAGGGAAUCUUCCGCAAUGGACGAAAGUCUGACGGAGCAACGCCGCGUGAGUGAUGAAGGCUUUCGGGUCGUAAAACUCUGUUGUUAGGGAAGAACAAGUGCUAGUUGAAUAAGCUGGCACCUUGACGGUACCUAACCAGAAAGCCACGGCUAACUACGUGCCAGCAGCCGCGGUAAUACGUAGGUGGCAAGCGUUAUCCGGAAUUAUUGGGCGUAAAGCGCGCGCAGGUGGUUUCUUAAGUCUGAUGUGAAAGCCCACGGUUCAACCGUGGAGGGUCAUUGGAACCUGUGAGACUCU
rnacentral:rRNA from 1 species